rnacentral:rRNA from 1 species
UUGCCAUCAUUAAGUUGGGCACUCUAAGUUGACUGCCGGUGACAAACCGGAGGAAGGUGGGGAUGACGUCAAAUCAUCAUGCCCCUUAUGAUUUGGGCUACACACGUGCUACAAUGGACAAUACAAAGGGCAGCGAAACCGCGAGGUCAAGCAAAUCCCAUAAAGUUGUUCUCAGUUCGGAUUGUAGUCUGCAACUCGACUACAUGAAGCUGGAAUCGCUAGUAAUCGUAGAUCAGCAUGCUACGGUGAAUACGUUCCCGGGUCUUGUACACACCGCCCGUCACACCACGAGAGUUUGUAACACCCGAAGCCGGUGGAGUAACCUUUUAGGAGCUAGCCGUCGAAGGUGGGACAAAUGAUUGGGGUGAAGUCGUAACAAGGUAGCCGUAUCGGAAGGUGCGGCUGGAUCACCUCCUUUCUAAGGA